AUUGAACGCUGGCGGCAGGCCUAACACAUGCAAGUCGAGCGGAUGCAGGGAGCUUGCUCCUGGAUUCAGCGGCGGACGGGCGAGUAAUGCCUAGGAAUCUGCCUGGUAGUGGGGGAUAACGUCCGGAAACGGGCGCUAAUACCGCAUACGUCCUGAGGGAGAAAGUGGGGGAUCUUCGGACCUCACGCUAUCAGAUGAGCCUAGGUCGGAUUAGCUAGUUGGUGGGGUAAAGGCCUACCAAGGCGACGAUCCGUAACUGGUCUGAGAGGAUGAUCAGUCACACUGGAACUGAGACACGGUCCAGACUCCUACGGGAGGCAGCAGUGGGGAAUAUUGGACAAUGGGCGAAAGCCUGAUCCAGCCAUGCCGCGUGUGUGAAGAAGGUCUUCGGAUUGUAAAGCACUUUAAGUUGGGAGGAAGGGCAGUAAGUUAAUACCUUGCUGUUUUGACGUUACCAACAGAAUAAGCACCGGCUAACUUCGUG
rnacentral:rRNA from 1 species